UUCUGGCUGCAUGGCCACCAAUUUCUCCAAUUUCUGGGGUACAAGGUGAUACUCGAGCAGUGCUGUACACUAUGCAAUCUGGCACAUCUAUGGCUUGCCCACAUGCUACUGGAGCAGCAGCCUACAUCAAGUCAUUUCAUCCCACCUGGUCUCCUGCUGCUAUUAAGUCUGCUCUUAUGACUACUGGUAAUGCCUAAAUUCUAUUCCUAACCUUUGAAACUAUAAACAGCUGGUAUUAAUAGUAUUUAAUCUCUCCCCUCUGUGUGUUUGUGAGCAGCUCUUCCCAUGAGCGCUGAAAAAAAUCCGGAUGCAGAAUUCGCAUAUGGCGCAGGCCAGAUAGAUCCUUUAAAGUCUGUAAACCCUGGUUUGGUAUAUGAUGCUGAUAAGAUUGACUAUGUAAAAUUUUUGUGUGGGCAAGGUUAUACUACCCAGACCCUACAACUCGUUACUGGGGAUAACAGCGUCUGCUCUGAAGCCACAAAUGGAACUGUCUGGGAUCUAAAUUACCCUUCCUUUGCUCUCUCCAGCUCCACCUUUGAAUCUAUAACUGGUGUGUUCACCAGGACUGUCACAAAUGUUGGGUCGCCCGUAUCCACAUAUAAAGCUACUGUGACGGGUGCCCCAAUUGGACUUCAAAUCCAAGUUGUUCCAGACAUUUUAUCAUUCACAUCGCUCGGGCAGAAGCUGUCCUUUGUGUUGAAGGUUGAAGGAAAGGUAGGUGACAACAUAGUCUCUGCUUCUUUGGUGUGGGAUGAUGGUGUACAUCAAGUGAGGAGCCCCAUUGUUGUGUUUGUUGUCGCGACAAAUUGAAGAAUACAAAUGCCUCCCACCAAAAAAAAUAAAGCAUUGCAAUUGUUAUACCUAUAAAAUAGAAAUCCGUGAAUAAAUUGUAUAGGUAUCAUUUGAUUUGCUUUCUUUUAGGAUGCAGUGUGCUGUUUUUAGAUCCAAUAUUGGCUUUAUAUUUAUGUUGUUUUUGAGGAAGAUUGUGUUGGGUAAAAUUAAAAAUCCUCAGACCAAUCAUCCAUAAAUAGUCUUAAUAAAAUUAUUCCACCUUAUAGACCUUUUAGGAGGGAAAACUUUGACACUUUGUAUGUUUUUUCAUUAAAAUGAGCCUAGAAUUUUUAUACAAAUUGUAACAUCACGGAUAACACAUUUCUAAGAGUGAAAACUCUUAUAUUCCUUGGCUCAAAAUAUAUAAUUGCUAUAAUAUUUAUGUAAGUUGUAAUAUAUCGAAUGAAGAAUUUAAGAUAAAGAUAUAAUUUUGUUUUAAAGCAAAUAUAUAUAGGUAGCUUGAUUUGAGAAAGUAGAAAUUCUAGACAUAAAUGACAAUUUAAUAUAGAAUUUACAAGAGAUCAUGGAUAAGUAUCAUCAAGUUAUAUUGCAAUUUGUAAGAGUGAAAACUCUAAGAUUGCUUUUAUUAAAAUGAUUAUUAUGUUGAGAUUUUAUUCAAAUGAUUUUGAUACCUCCACUGUGACAUCAAAAUUGGCUUAUGGUAUCGAAAUUGAGUAUUGCUUGUCGUUGCAAUGUAUUUGCAUAACACCUUAAACUCACUAUAUUUGGAUUGACUUUCUACCUUGUAUUGAAGCGGUGCCAAAAUCCACUCUUUUAUAUCGAAAUACCUCUUUUCCUUGCCUUCUUCAAUAGAUGUAAACAUUACUCCUAAAUUUGGGACUUAACAUAUAAGCUAAAAGAUAAUGAUUUGCACUAAAAAAUGAUUCAAAAACCAAUUUUUUUUAUUAUAUAUAUUAAAAACCAUCAAUUUUGAGUGUUAAUCAUUAAAUAAUGUUAAACAUGUUCCUAAGUUGAGGAGAAGUUUAAUUUCUUUAGGGGCUUUAGACAAUUUGGAUUGUUAUUUUUUUUUUUGCAAAGAACAAUAUUAUGAAGAUCAUCAAUAAAGGUGCUUUGAUAGCUAUGAAAGGAAAAAAGGUGAAAGAUUUACAUACUUUGAUUGGGAAGACAAUUUUAGGUGGAGUUAUGAAGGUGGAGCCACACUAUGAAGAGUCUUUUACUAGUGUUAAAGAAGUUGUUAAAGUAGAGGAGUGCAACAAGAUGAUCAAGACUACAUUUUUGGUUAAGAGUACUCAUUGGCGCAAGGAUGAGAGUAAUCACAAAAGGAAUGAAGUUUUGAAGAAGACAUAAAAAUGAUUUCUUGAAUCAAGUUUGACGAGAGUUUAAACUUGAUAUAUGUUUAUUCUCAUUAAUUGCACAGUAUCAAGAGAAUUCAAGUCAAAACAUAGAUUGUUGAAAUUUGACUCAAAUGAUUUAUUUUUUAUUUUUAGAGAACUCAAUAUUUAUAGAGCUUGUGUUUUAAUAAAUUACUUUUUUAAAGUUUGACUAUGAUUAGGGAAUUUUUGGUUUGAGGUUAAUCCAUAGGACUAUAAAUAUGUGGUUUUUAUGAUAGAUUUACAUAGAAGAGACAAAGAGAAGAGAAAGUGAGAAAAGAGUGAGAGAAAUAGGAAGAGUGUAUUGGGUUUUGGGUAAAGAAAGGUUGAGAAAGUUUGAAGCUUAUAUUCAUUAAAAUAAAUUUGAUCUCCCUUUUCUCAUGGAGGUAAGCGAUUACAUUGAACUAUGUAGAUAUUUGUCUUCUUUAUUUCAUUUUUAUUUUUCUGUUAAAUUUGGUAGUUAAUUUUAAAGCAAAUAGUGUUAAUUAAGUUUGGUUGUUAAUUUUAAAGCAAAUAGAGUUAGCAUGAAUUUAGAAAAUAGACAUGCAAUAGGAAUUUAACGUAGAUCAACUUAUACGGGGCAUGAAUGUAUUCGGUUCUGCAGUUUAUAUAUUAUUGUUUUAUUUUAAUUAGGAUUUUGAUUCUGAUAUUUCUAUAAACCUAUCUUCCCAUAAUCACUUCCACUUUGCUUAUUUGCUGCACCAGAACUACUUCUGCAGAAGAUCGAAUGGUAAUAAUUUGUCUCUCUUUUGGUCCUUGCUGGGUAAAAUGCAUUUUUUUUAGAAAUAUUUUGUAACUUAAUCAGUUGUGUUUAUUGUCAUUGUAGGAGUAUAUUGUGUACAUGGGGGACCUUCCAAAGGGUGAUGUGUCGGCUUCAGCCCUUCAUAUUAACAUGCUACAUCAAGUGUUUGACAGGUAUCGAUAUUUUUCCUUUUAACAUAAAAAGAUGCUAACUAUUGCAUCUUAUACAAAUACAAUGACAUGUGUUCAUGAAACACUUCUAUAGUUUUUCCAAUCAAAUAGUUGGUGUUAGGUUAUUGUCUGACAAUUUAAGUCUUUAUAUGGUAUGGAACUUGAAAUUUCAGGUUGAUUAACGGCCUUGAAUUUAAUCCCCCCACUUUCAACCAAGCCAAAAAAUCAUGUUAGAUCAUUAAAGUUGUAUGCUAGGGAAGAACAAUUCAAAUAGAAAGGGAUAUAAAUUUUUUUUAAACAAAUUCAAGACAAAAUGGAAGUUUACCAUGUGAAAAUUAUCAGCUCAACGUGAUCAGUGAAGCAACACUGAAGAUUCUCUUGAUGUAUAUAUAUACAUAUGGUUUAUGAUCAAACAAGAAGCACAUCUGGAAAACUGCCAAGAAUCCAUUGAGUGGUACUGGCCUCACGUCUUUAAUGGCUUCUGUUCGACAGUGGUGCAUCCGAAUAUCUACUUCAUAGCUACAAGAGUAGCUUCAAUGGGUUCGUUGCCAAGCUGACUAAGUAGGAGAUGACGAAACUCUCGGGUGGGGGAAUCAUAAUUUUCAAGACAUUAUUUUAAACUGUAUUUUAUUUGCUUAUCAAUAAUCUGAUUCUAAGUAUGUAUAUUCAGCCAUGGACGGGGUAGUGACUGUAUUCCCAAAUGGAAAGAAGAAACUCCUCACAACAAGAUCAUGGGACUUCAUGGGCUUUCCCCAAGAAGUUAAAAGAACGGCAACUGAAAGCGAUAUUAUCAUUGGAAUGCUUGAUUCUGGGAUCUGGCCUCUAGUUUCAGUGAUGAAGGAUUCGGUCCUCCACCAAGCAAAUGGAAGGGUACUUGUCAAACCUCAUCCAAUUUCACUGGCAACAAGUAACUAUUAUUAAUAUAAUCAUCAUUAGUAGAUAUAUAUACAGAGAGAUCCCCUGCUUCUUAACAAAAAUUGCGAUGCUGUGCAGUAAAAUCAUUGGAGCUAAAUACUACAGAAGUGAUGGAAAACUGGGGCUAACAGGUAUUAAAUCACCGAGAGAUUCAGAAGGCCAUGGCUCACACACUGCAUCCAUGGCAAGCUUACUAGGCCUUGGCUCAGGGACAGCUAGAGGAGGGCUUCCCUCUGCUCGCAUCGCAGUGUACAAGAUAUGUUUGUCAGAUGGUUGUUCUGAUGCUAUAUCCUUUCAGGGUUUGAUGAUGCCAUUGCAGAUGGAGUUGAUAUUAUCUCUCUUUCAGUUGGGGAAAUAGAUUCCUACGAUUACUUUGAAGAUUGAAUUGCAAUUGGAGCUUUCCGUUCUAUGAAGAUGGGAUACUCACAUCUAAUGCUGCUGGUAAUUGGGGCCCGAAUCAUGCUACUACUACAAAUUUCUCACCUUGGUCUCUCUCAGUUGCUACUAGCACCAUUGACAGAAAGUUUGUGACCAAGGUCAAGUUGGGAAACAACAAGGUUUAUGAGGUGAAUAUGUAUGCAUAUUUAUCUGUUAAUUUCGCUUUCAUGUCUACUUAAGAGUAACCUCUUACUGGUGGAUGUAGGGAGUCUCUAUAAAUACUUUUGAGAUGAAGGGUAUGUACCCUAUCAUUUAUGGUGGAGAUGCCACAAAUACUACAGGAGGUUAUAAUAGUUCUUCUUCCAGGUGGAGAUCAGACAUUUAAUUUUUCACUAGAAGCACUCGAAGCUUCAGUAACGUAUGAUAUUUGAAGGCUGAAAGUGCAUGAAAGUUAUCAUGAAAUGCAGGUACUGUUUUUUCAACUCGUCGACAAGUCUGGUAAAUGGUAAAAUCCUAUUCUGUGAUUCGGACACUGAUGGGUGGGAGCAGCGGAUACUGUAUUUCAAGAUGAAUGCUACAAUGAUUUUUCCACCAGUUAUGCUUUACCUGCAUCCUCCUUGGGCUUAAGUGAUGGUGGCAGAGUUCUUCAAUACUUGCACUCAACUAGGUAUAUAUUCUUCAAGCUAUCACACUUUCCACUUUUGAUAGCCUUUUCUUUGGUGAUUCUCUGCAUAAUGAUAGAUGAUCUAAUCUAAUUUCAUGCACUCCUUGUAUACACAGCAAACCCACUGCAAUUAUAGAGAAGAUUGUUGAGGUUGAAGACAAAUUGGCCCCAUUUGUAGCUUCAUUUUCCUCGAGGGGCCCCAACCCUGUUACAAGUGACAUUCUCAAGGUAAUGAUCUGUUAAUUAAUCUUCUCUGGUGAUUUAUUCCUGAGUAGCCCAGUCUCUUUCUGAAUUGCAAAUUCUUGACAUUAUUAUACAGCCUGACUUAACUGCACCGGGAGUGGACAUUGUAGCAGCAUGGACAAAGGCUUCAACUGUAACAGGAUAUGAUUGGGACACAAGAGUAGUCCCAUACAAUAUAGUUUCCGGGCCAUCCAUGGCUUGUCCAAAUGCUUCUGGGGCUGCUGCCUAUGUCAAAUCAUUUCACCCAACAUAGUCUCCUGCUGCUAUUAAAUCUGCUCUAAUGACAACUGGUAAUGGUUUGAUCCAUAUUCUAAUUAUACAAGACAUCAAUGAAAGCAGGGGUUAGGGAAGAAUUAGCCAUCUUCCUUUUUCAAAUAUUUUUAACCAAAAGCAAUUCAUUAACAUCUAAAUCAUUUUGGGAAUUUCCUUGAGUCACAUUCUAUAUACCCUGUGAAACAAUAUUUAUAACUUCAGCCAGAAGUCAUUCUUCUAACGCCCACAACAAAAUAGAAAAAUGAAAUUGCUUUCACAUAUACAUAUCUAGAAGAAAUAUAAUUAACCAUUAUAUAUAACUAAUUCUCAUGUUUCCAUGUUGUUCUUUGCAGCUGCUCCCAUGAGUGUUAAAUCCAACAGAGACCAGGAGUUUGCAUAUGGGGCAGGUCAGAUAGAUCCUAUAAAGGCUGCACAUCCUGGCUUGAUAUAUGAUGCUGGAGAGGCAGAUUAUGUCAAAUUUUUGUGUGGGCAAGGCUACAACACUAAGCAGUUGCUGAUGAAUUUUGAAUAACAUAGGAUCACAUGUAGACAUUAAAACAUGCAUUAAACAGGAAUAAACGAAAUGCUCACCUUGAUUAAUGCCGUGGAAAGCCAUUUUCUCGUUCCACUGCCUCCAAGACGAAGCUCAGUCCGUGAUGGCAUGUGAAUCCGGGUUUAAUGAGCUCUUUCCUUUCCUAUACCCAAGAUUCAGUCCAAGUGUGUUGUGCGUGCCGUCUCCAGCCAAAGAAGAAGAAGACAGAGAGAUGGAGCGGGAGAGAGAGUUGUUUCUUUUUACUUAUAUAUAUAUAUAUAAAUAUCAUGCAUUACAUACAUUAUUUGGACCACUUGACUUUGGGCUAGUCAAGUGAAUUAGGGUGAGCCCAUAAAAAAUCAAGCAACGAUAUGAGUCCAAUCCCAUUAUGGACCACAAUGAAAAAAUAAAAUAACAUUGAUUUAUGACAUUAUCAUAUUGAUUAUGUAAGUCCACACAUAAAAAAUUCCAACAAUUCUCCCACUUGGAUUACAUAAUCAAACAUCACAACAUAUACAUAAUCAUAAAUCAAUGUCUCAUAGAAUCUCAUCAAAACAAAUAAUCAAAAGCAAUCAUACAUGCUUAAUUGCUUGAUUUACAGGGAAAUAUACAAUAAUAGCAAUCCUUCCAACAAUAGCAUAAUAUUACAAUACCAAAAAUGGCUCCCACUAACUUAAUGCAACCUAGACUUCCAACAACCCUAUUUGAAACACAUGUUCAUGAAACACAACUAUGGGUAAGCCUUUUGUUAGUGGAUCUGCCAACAUACCUUUUGUGGACAUGUGCUCAAUAUCAAUAAGAGACUCUACCACUUUCUCUUUAACAAAAUAGAACUUUACAUCAAUUGCUUGGAGCGAGAAAUACUCCUAGUGUUCUUAGAGAAAGCAACAGCUGCGGAAUUAUCACAAAAUAAUUUUAACGGUCUAGAAAUGGAGUCAACUACUCCAAAACUGAAACAAAAUUCCGCAUCCAUAUAGCAUGACAACAAACCUCAUAACAUGCCACAUACUCGGCCUCCAUAGUUGAGGAUGCUGUAAGUGUUUGCUUGACACUUUUCCAAGAUACAGUUCCUUCUGCCAUCAUAAAAAUAUGGCCCGUAGUGGAUUUCUUAUCAUCUAUGCAUCUAGCAAAAUCAACAUCACAAAAUCCAACUACAUCAAGUAUGUUGGUGCACUGAUAUAUCAACAUUAAGUCCUUAGUUCAUUGCAAAUACCUAAGGACCUUCUUAGCAGCUUUCCAAUGUUGACUCCCAAGAUUGCUCAAGUACCUUCCUAACAUGCCCACAACAAAAGCAAUAUUAGGGCAUGUACAUACUUGAGCAUACAUAAGGCUGCCAACCAAAGAUGAAUAAGGAAUGACUCUCAUUUCCUCUCUCUCAUCAUCAUUUUGAUGAUAUCGAGCCUUUGAAAACUUAUCACCGUUCAUAAUUAGCGCUCCAGUAGAACUACAAUUGUGCAUAUUGAAUCUCUUCAAUAUCUUCUCAAUAUAAGCUCUUUGAGACAAUUUAAACACUCCAUUAGCUCUAUCACGUAGAAUCUUUAUGGCCAAAAUAUAAGAAGCCUCACCAAGAUCCUUCAUGUCAAAAUGGGUUGACAACAUGUGCUUUGUCACAAUCAACAAGUCAGAAUCAUUUGAUGCGAAUAGUAUAUCAUCAACAUAUAAAACAAGAAAUAUGUAACUACUCCCACUGACCCUCAAAUAUAUGCAUCUGUCAACUGUAUUCUUUUUAAAACCAUUUUGGGCGAUAAUCUUAUCAAACUUUAGAUACUAUUGCCUUGAAACCUGUUUAAGACCAUAAAUUGACUUAUUGAGAUUGCAAACUAAAUCUUCCUUUCCAACUUCUACAAAACCAGUAGGCUGCUCCAUAUACACGUCCUCAUCCAGAUCACCAUUCAAGAAAGUUGUCUUGACAUCCAUCUGAUGUAACUCCAAAUCAAAAUGAGCUACUAUGGCCAUAAUCACUCUAAAAGAGUCCUUGGUCGAUACAGGUGAGAAUGUUUCUUUAAAAUCAAUUCCUUCUCUUUGACUAUAACCUUUAACCACAAGUCUAACUUUAUAUCUCUCUAUUUGCCUGCUAAAAUCACGUUUGGCCUUAAAUACCCACUUGCAUUCAACUGGUUUAUAGCCAUGUGGCAAUUUGACCAAAUCCCAAACAUCAUUCAUAUACAUAGAGUUCAUUUCAUCAUCCAUGGCUUUUUUCUAAGAAGGGAAUUGAGGACAAUGAAUUGCAUCUUGAAAAGUGAUUGGAUCAGAAGCAUUAGAACCAUCAUACUCAUGCUCUUGCAAAUAAACCAUAUAAUCAUCUGAAAUAGCUGGCCUACGAAUCUUCUGUGAUCUUCUCAAAGUAAUCCCAUCUACAACAGUAUCAUCAACAGGAAUGCCAAGUUCCACUUGAUCACCAUGCUUUCCUUCAUUAGUGGCUGACUGUUGGAGAAUAGGAACAUCCACAUUUGGAACAUGAGAUGUGUGAAAAGGAAUUAUAACAUGCUCUUCUCCAAAAAAUAUCUCAUAAGGCACAAAAUUGGGAUCAACAUUAACUUCAUCUUCAAAGUAUACAUCCCUGUUUGACUCAAUGUUCCUGGUGGUAUGAGAUGGACAAUAAAAUCUGCAACCCCUUGAUCCAAUGCAAUAGCCAACAAAGAAACCAUUAAUGGUUUUAGGAUCAAGUUUCUUUGACUGUGGGUUAUAUGGCCUAACCUCAGCUUUACAUCCCCAAACAUGGAAAUAGCGAAAGCUCAGUUUCUUUUCUGACCAUAGCUCAUAAGGUGUCUUAGGCACAGACUUACUGGGCACUUGAUUCAAAAUAUAUGCCGCAGUCCUUAAGACUUCACCCCACAUAAACUCUUAGUAAGGAGGAAUUAGACAACAUGCACCUCACCAUAUCCAACAAUGUGCGAUUCCUCAUUUCUGCAACCCCAUUUUUUCGAGGAGUGCCUGAUAUUGUAUAUCUAGCAUCAAUGUCGCAUUCCAAUAGAAACUUAGCGAAUGGUCUAGGAUUCCAUCCAAUCUCAUCAUAUCUCACCACUUCUAUCAGACUUCACAACUUUAAUGGGCUUUCCCAACUGCAACUCCACCUUAGCCUUAAAGGCCUUAAACACAUUUAGGAAGUAAGAUUUCUCAUGGAUUAGUUCAACAUAACCAUAUCUAGAGAAAUCAUCAAUAAAAGUGAUGAAAUAUUUAUAACCCCCUAAAGCAGUUGGUGUCAAAGGACCACAUAUAUCUGUGUGGAUAAAGUCUAAAGUACUUCCACACCUAUCAAUCUUCUCAUAUUUGGUCUUAGUCGUCAUCUUCCUUUUUGAGCAAACAACACAAGUCUCGAAGUCUGAGAAAUCAAGAUUAGAAAGCACACCAUCUCUAACCAAUCUAUCUAAUCUUUGCCUAGAAAUAUGACCUAGGUGUUUGGGCCACAACAUGGAAGAACUCAAAUUCAUUCUAGCACACUUGCAACCAAUAACAAAAUUAAAAGAAGAUGAAUCACAUAAAGGACUGUGAUGCAAAUUGAGACUAUAAAGAUUGCCAAAGAAAACAACAUUGCCAAUUAGAAUUGAGUUGCCAAAUAUAUCCACUUUUUCUUUUCCAGAGUGGAAAGUGUAACCUUAUCUAUCCAAAAUAGAAACAGAAAUCAAAUUUCUCCUAAGUGAGGGUAUGUAAGCAACAUUGUGUAACAACAAAAAACUUUUUGUGAUCAAUCUUAGCUUUAUCAUGCCAAAAAAUUCUACUUUCACUUUGCUUCUAUCACCCAUAUAGACACAUUCUUCAUGCUUUGAUGACCUCCUUUUGUUUGUCAUCUCCUACAAAGAAUUAGUGACAUGAAUAGUGACACCAGUAUCGAACCACCAAGAAUUGGGAUGAACAUCAACAAUAUUAGUCUCAAUCAUGUUUGCAUUCAAAUUAACCACAACCACAAUUUCACUUUUCUUUUUCUUCUCUAGCCAAUUUUUAAACUUGAAGCAAUCAACCUGCUUGUGGCCAAUCUUGUGGCAAAAGUUGCACUUCCCCUUGAAUCUCUCACUCUUUGUAGCAUUAGAAGAAGCAGAUGCAUUGGAGGUUCCUUGACUUGAAUUCCCUUUCCUCUUGAAUUGCUUAGAGCCUCCAAAAUUCUUGUGUGAAGGUUUUUUCUUCAUAUUACUCACUUGGUCAGUAACAAGAGCAAAUGAGUGAAUCUCAUUUUUCUUCAGUGAGACUUCAUGUUGCACCACAAUGGACAUCAACUCCUCCAGAGUCCAUUCUUCCUUCAAGGCAUUAUAAGUCAACUUCACUGCAUCAAAGGAAGUAGGAAGAGACUCAAAGCAUCAACCAUUUCAAGAAUUUCUCACUCAACUCUACUUUCAUCUCAUUUACCUUGUUGAAGUAGUGCUUUAGCUUGAUGAUGUGAUCUUUAACCCCACCUACUCCAUCAUACAUAGUGGUUGUGAGAAGCUUCAAAUAAGUUGUCAUUUCUGCCUUAUCAAUCUUGGUAUAAUUGGCUUUCACAUAUUCCAAGAAGUCUUUGGCUCUUUCCGUCUUUGGCACACAUUCUUUAAUAGAUUUGUCCAUAGUAUACUUCAUUACCAUCAAACAACUCCUAUUGGAGUGCUCCCAUAUCUCAUAAAAAGAUAUUUCAUCAGUAGAGCUCAUAUCAGUGGGCUUACUUGGCUCAUUAACUCUCAAAACCAAAUCCAAAUUUUGCAGAGUCAUAUGCACAUUGAAAGACUCAUACAAUUCCUCAAAAUUAUUUCUAGUAAGGGGCUUGAUGGCAGAUAAUUGCAGAGUAAUUCCAGGAUUGCUAAUAGUUGGAAAAUAGCAAAAUUAAAUAAUAUGCAUAAAAUUUCUCAAUUUAGCAAUAGCUUGGAAUUUUGAAAUUCUACAGUGGUAAGGACAAUUAAUUAAAUAUCACAACCAAGAUGCACUAAUUAUAUUACCGAAAGGGCAAAAGAAAAUUAGUACGGUUCAUAAUAUAUAAUUAAUUUCCUUCACCAAUCUAAGCAUCCUACUAAGUAUUAUAAUCAUCGAUAUGACAAUUACAAUACCCGUAUGGACCUUAGUAAUCACAAUAAUAAAGCAACCAAAAGUGGGAGAUAAAAUAUCUCAACAAAAACAAUUUGACACAUAUAGUAUCAUGAUAGACAACUACUUAUAUGUUCACUAUUGUCAUGAUAAACUCAAAUAUUUAAUUUGCACAACUUGACACACUUGGAAUUACGAUAGGCAAUCACAAAAGUGUUCUUUAUUGCCAUAAUAAAUUUAAAUAUUUCACAAAAAUGGCCUAGGACAACAUUAUUGGUAUAAGAUAAAAAAUUAUAUCAUAAAGAACAACAAUAAUAAUAAUUGUCCCAAUAAAACCAAAUUUAACAUAUGUAUAAUAAUUCCAAGAAUAUGCAUAAUGAUUCCAAGAAUACCAAGACAACCAAAACAAAAAAAAAAAAGGUUUUUUUUAAUGAUGUCAUGAUGACGUCAUCUCAUCAUCUCCACCAGAACACGACCUGGUUCAUCUUUGGAGAGGAAAAAAAAAAUUCUGCCAAAAUUUUGUGCAUUUUCCGACGAAAACACUUAGGUCUCCAUCCUCAAACAUCAAUCCUUCAAUCUAAACCCAAAAAUUGCACAAAAAAACACAUAAUUGGAAGAACCAAAAUAAGCCCUAAUUUUCGAAAUUCCAUCAAAUGAGCUCCAAAAACCAUAAAAACAAGAUGGGUUUUGCUCCAAACAAUAUUCUCUACAAAUCUCCAACAUCAAUCGGGCUUGAAAACCGAGAAACAACACCAAACGAAAAAAAAAAAAACUCCAAAAAAAAAUUGGCUUCCAUAACUAGAAAACGGGAAACCUUGAAUAACCCAAAUAUGCAGCUCAAAUGUCAUCCAUGUUAUGCUCUGAUACCAAUUGAUGAAUUUUGAACAACAUAGGAUCACAUGUAGAUAUUAAAGCAUGCAUUAAACGAGAAUAAACGAAACGCUCACCUUGAUUAAUGUUGUGGAAAACUAUUUUCUCGUUCCACUGCCUCCAAGACGAAGCUUAGUCCGUGAUGGUAUGUGAAUCCGGGUUCAAUGAGCUAUUCCCUUUUCUACACCCAAGAUUCAAUCCAAGUGUGUUGUGUGUGCCCUCUCAAGCCAAAAAAGAUGCAAUACGCUUGUUGCAUUGCAAGAAUAGCAGUACUAAAUAUUGAAAAAAAAACACAAUUUUUUUUUUUUUAUUCAAGCUGGUGAUUUCAAUUAAUUCUUAUUGUAAUGCCCAAUCUUUGAUUUUUCAACUCUCGGGAAAAUUUCUAGAUUCAUAGUAAAGUAGUGUUUAUAAUAUAACUUAUUUGGGAUACCUAUUGGUUUCCUCACAUGUUAUAGUGGUCCUUGCUUGCAUAUAUCAUUUUAGUCUAGAUGGUCACUAGUUGCAAAUUAAGACAAUGUUUGUUUUUUGGUUAAACAGAAAAAACAAAAAUAUUUGACUUUUUCUAUUCAACUAAAAGCAACUUAUUGAUAUCAACCAAUAUAACUAAACUAAACCUAUUGAUAACAUAUUCACUUUAGUUAUGUUGGUUGAUAUCAAUAUGUUACUUUUAAUUGAAUAGAAAAAACCAAAUAUUAGAGUGUAUUGUGGAGGGUAUGUGAAUUUCCUUGAGGACAUUUGAAUGCCCCACAUGUUGUUUGAAUGCUCUUCAUGAUGUUUGAACGCUUUGCUUUGAUUUUUGUGCACUAAGCUUUAUUUAUUUAUUUUUUGUGUUAUUCCCUUAAAUUAUUUUCUAUUUAACAUAUUGGAGCUAUUUCUUAAGCUCUAAUUAGUUUAAGUAUAUAUAUACCUUGUAAAUUAAUUAACUUUGAAAUAGUUUGAAGUUGCAUAACACCCAUAAGAAUAAGAUAAUUAAAAUACAAUGGAUUCAAUAUUUAAAUGAAAUAAAAUGGUUAAUAAAGUAUGCCCUUAUAUGCCAAAAACCUCAUUUGAAGGGCUAACAUAUAUAAUAGAAGAUGCCAUGAAAAGGUGAGAUAAUAUGAACUUGUUCGGUUAUAUAUAUAAUGUAAAUUUUUUAAAAAUAUUCUUUGGAGAGAUUUUCAAAUAAUAUUAAAUUGGUUUUAAUCAAGUAUAAAAAAUUCCCAUCCAACCAAAUUCAAGCAAUACACUUUGACGCUGGAAAAGUGGUGGUGAUGAGUGCAGCCAAUAAGCAGAUAUUUAAGAAUUUGAGGAACCAAUCAGAACAUGCUAGGGGUCGUAACCAAUUUAGCUGGCACAACUUUAUCGUAUUCCGUGUAAAAAAUGUAGGUUAUAUUCCAAAAGUCUUUAACGAGAAGACAAUGACAAUUUUUAGAUUAUGUUUGGUUAUCGAAAUUUGAAGGACAAUUUAAAAAACAAAAAAAGAAGUUAAAGUUAAUAUUUUAUAUGAUACUUCAAGCUUAUUAAAUAUAUAUAAUUUAAAUAAUAUUUAUUUAUUUAUUUGUUUGUUUUUUAAUUUUUUAUAAAAAAAUUAUUUUAAUUAUGUAUUUUUUCUUAAUAUUUUUAGAAAACCAAACAUAACUCCAAAAGUCUUUACCACAUUAUUUAUAGUCAAUGGUCCCCUUUUUAAUUCCACAAUUCAGAUUAGAUCACUAGUCCCAGUCCCCAUGGACCCCACCCCUUUGUCUAUAGAAAUCAGUGGGUCAGGCUCUACUUUUUGAAAUGAAAGGACUCUCUCAUGGAAAAAAAUUGUGGAAAAGGAUAUCUUUGUUUAGCAUAUAAAACAAUAAAUUUUAAUAAAAAAAUUAUCUAAUUUAUAACUUUAGUAUACUAAAGAACUUUUUUUUGAAAAUAUUUUUCAAGGGUAUUCAAAGAGCAUUGACAAUGGGAUGAAAUUUUAAAGAUGAAAUUUAGUAUAAUAAUUCAUUUUUUUUGGAGCAAUAAAAGUAUUGAAAAAGGUUAUGAGCCUUUGAUUAUUAUACUUUUCUAGUGAUGACAUGGUAGUAUGAAUAUAUAUAUAUAUAUAUAUAUAUAUAUAUAUAUAUAUAUAUUUUAAGAAUGAUUUUUUAAUUGUGCUAAUUUUAUUCACUUCCUUUGAUGUUUUAGUUAAAUAUAAUUAGUUUAUGUUAGUUUGAAAAAUUGUCAAAUACUUCCCUUAUUUUAAAUUAGAGGGGACAUGAGUUGAAAUAUAAAAAAAGAAGGAUAUGAGAGACAGUUGAUGAAAUUUCAAAUCAAUAGAGGUUAGAUUUAUUUAGCUAAAAUCUUAGGAGAAGUUAAUGAAAUUAACCGUUUUGUAAUUUUAUAUGAGCUGUAAAGUAGAUGUUAAUGUAAAAUUUCCUUUCAUCAAAUAGUGGUCUUUCAUUUUCUAUUGACUUAAUGCUAUCAAGGUCAAGAUAUUCUUGCCAAGACAUGAUAGGUGAGUCCUUAAAAUUCUUUGGUGUAUUAAGGCCACAACCAUGAAGAUAUUUUGUCAACGUUGUUUAUUUAUUUAUUUUUAAAAUAUAUUUAUUUAAAAUAUCCUUCAGGGUGUAACUCAAGCAUUUGAAAAUCAUAUUAAUAUAUGUACCAUCAAAUUGGAAAAAAAUUAAGGUAUAUUGGACUUUGCAUCUUGAUUGUCAAAUGUGUAUCAUAAGGUUUAAACAGUGUAUCUCAAUCUUUGAAAGCAUACGAAAAAGUUCAAAUUAAUGAUAAUGAUGUGAUGCAAGUAAUAGAAUUAAGUACAGAUCAAUAAAAUUAAGGUAAAAAACAAUAAAAUCAAAGUAUAAAAUAAUGAGACAAAACUCGAUAUAAAAGAAAUGAAAUUAUAAUACGAACGUAAUAUAACUUGAUUAAUUGUGCUUUUUAAUACUUAUCAUCGAUUCAAUAUUACAGAGGGGCCUAUGAUGAUUAAAAGAUGAGGAUUGAAAUGCUCAGAUAUAUAUACAUGUCCAAAGUGCCAGAACGUGCAUAGCUUACCAUAUAAUGGCAAGAAAGAACUAUUUUCUUCUGUUUCUCCUUCUCGGUCUCAAUCAUUUUUAGAAAUAAAAUUUUUAUGAAAUUGAAAAAUGGUUUUUUUUAAUUAAUUAAUUUAUUUUGUGAAGGUAGUAUAUAUUUAUGUAUACAACGUAAAAAUUUUUAAAAUAUUAUUUGGAGAGAUUUUCAAAUAAUAUAAAUAUAGGAGACACUUCAUAUUUUUUCUAAUAUAAAAAAAAAUAAAAAAUAAACUAAUUUCCAUUACAAUACUUAUUUUUAUUUUCGGAGACACCAAAAUAUUACCCAAAUAUCCUUGAAUAUAACUUGCUAGAAAUUUGGGGUGCCAAUUUUCUGGAAGAAAUAUGAACCCACCCAGUUUUGACUAAAAUGGAAUGGAUGGAACCAGAUUAGAUCAAUACUAAGGUGGUAUUUGUUUUUUAACGGGAUAAAAAAACUAAAAUAUUUGAUUUUUUCUAUUCAGCUAAAAAUAUCUUAUUGAUAUUAACCAAUAUCACUAAAAUGAAUUUGUUAUCAAUAAAUUUAGUUAAAUUAUAUUGAUCUAUGUAAAUAAAUUACUUUUAACUGAAUAGGAAAAGUUAAAUAUUUUAACUUUUUUUAUUCAGCCAAAAAACAAAUACCACCUAAAUCAUAUCCGUUUGAAUCAACAAUUAAGUCCAUUUAAAAAAAUUCCCAUCCAACCAUUUUUUAUUUAUUUAUUAAAUUUAAAAGUUAAAACAAACAAGUGGUGGAGAUGAGUAAUCAGUGGAGCCAAUCAGCAAAUAUUAAGUGACGUACAACUGUACAAGGGGUCAUAGCCAACUUGGCUGCCGCUAGCUGGCGCAACCUUGUCGCACUCCGCCUGAAACACGUAGGUCAUCAUCUACCGGAUGCCUUCAACGAGAAGGAGAUGGCAAUUCAUGUCAGGAUUUGAAGCACAAUCUGAAGAAAAAAAACAAAGAAAAAAAAAGGCUAAAGUUAAUAUUUAUAUGAUACUUUAAACUUAUUAAAUAUAUAUAUAAUUCAAAUAAUAUUUAUUUAUUUGUAGUUUUUUCAUAUUUUGAUUUAAAUAUUAUUUUAAUUAGCUUUUUUUUUUCUUAAUAUUUGUGGAAAACCAAGCAUAACUCCAAAAGUCUUUACUUUCUCCAUACGUUAUUUUAAUUAGCUUUUUUUUUUUUUCUUAAUAUCACUGGUCCCAUCCUCACGACCCUCACCCUUGAUAUAUAGAAAUCUAUGGGUGAGGCUGUACUUUUUGGAAUGAAAAUUUGCAACCCCACCACUCUCCCCCUCCCCCAAACACGUCGUCACUGCUCGACGACAACGCCAUCUCCAUCGGCCGAUGACGACGCCGUCCCAACAAUGACAUCCUCCCAAUGCCAUCACAAUGGUUGUAAGAGCAUGAAAAAGUUACCACCAAUAAUUUAAUGAACUUAUGAUGUCGUCAUCCCAACAAUGACGUAUCCUAAUGUCAUCACUAUGACGAUAAGUUGUAAGCUUGUAAAAAGUUAUCUCCGAUAAUUUAAUAAACUUUUGAAACUUUUAAGUUCUAAUAUAAAAGUGUCAAGCUUAUAAUUAAAUUUGUGGCUAUAAUUUUAUAAAUUUUAAAUCAAAAGAUCAAAUUCUAGGCUACAGUAUCCUAUUAUGUUGAUGAUUAAAUGAGUAAAAGAAAUUUUAAUCUUUUGGAUUGAUUAUAGAAAAACUUCAAAAUAUCAACUAUAUAUAUAGAAGUUUGUUAUUGAUUAAAAAAAUACUAAUUAUUUACGUAGAAGUUUCUCAUUGGUCAAAAAGGAAAUAUGUGAUAGAGAAGUUUUUUUUUUUUUAUGUCAUAGUUAAAUUAAAAUAAGAGGAAAAGAUUAUGAGUCUUUUACUCAUAUUUUCAAAUUUUAUUAUAUUUUUAUUUUUAUUUAUUUUAUUAGUUCAUUUUCAUUAUUAUUUAUUUAAUUUUAUAAUUAUAUAUUUUUUUAAAAUUUAUGAUUUUUAAAAUUUAUAAUUUUAAUCUAAAUUAAUCAAAACAUUAUGAUUUUAAAUAAAUUUCUAAAAACAUUGUGUUCUUUAGAAUUUAUUAUUUUAAUUUUGUAAAUUAUAUUUAAUUUUAAUAAUAUAAAAAAAAAUAUACAUUUAUGAUGUCAUUGAUUCGACCAUGGUCCAACUGUCGGUCUAAUUAGUAAACCGUGAACCGGUAACUUUUUCGAUUUAAUGAUCGAUCCGAUUUUGAAAACAUUAAUAAAAAAUCUUUCAUUGAAAAACAUUGUGGAAAAAAUGAUAUUUUUAUUUAAUAUAUAAAAUAAUAAUUUUUAAUAAACAAUUAUCUAGUUUGUAACUUUGGGUUAUUAAAGAACUUUUUUUUUGAAAAUAUUUUUUAAGGGUAUUCAAAGAGCAUUAACAAUGGGAUAAAAUUCUAAAGACGAUGUUUAGUGUAGUAAUUCCUUUUUGUUUUACUUUUUUAGGGACAAAAGUAUUGAAAAAGGUUAUAAUAGAUUGAUUAUUAUACUUUUUUCUAGUGAUGACUUAAUAGUAUGAUUUUUUUUAAAGGUUGAUUUUGCAAUUAGGUUAAUUUCUCCUUCAAGUUUUAGUUAAAUACAACUAAUUUUCAUUAGUUUGAAAAUUUAUCAAAUACCUACCUUAUUUCGAAUUAGAGGAAAGAUAGUAAAAAUAUUAAAUAAAAAUGAUAAAGAAGAUAUUUUAUGAAAUUUCAUACUAAUAAGGUUUUUAUAUGAGUUGUAGAGUAGAUGUCGAUGUAAAAUUUUCUUUCAUCAAAUAGUGGUCUUUCAUUUUCUAUGGACCUAAUGCUAUUAGGGUCAAGAUAUUCUUGCCAAGACAUGAUUGGCGAGUUCUUAAAAUUCUUUGGUAUAUUAAGGUCACAAUCACGAGGACAUUUGGUUGGUGUUGUUUAUUUUUUUAUUUUUUUAUUAAAUAUAAAUCAUUUGAAAUGUCUAACAAUGUGUAACUCAAGCAUUUAAUAUAUGUACCAUAAAAUUAGAAAAAAUUAAGGUAUAUUGGACUUUGUAUCUUGAUAGUCAAAUGUGUAUCAUAAGGUUUAAAUGGUUGGAUUUUGUACCUCGAUCAUUGAAAGCGAUAAAGUUUAAAUCAAUGAUGAUGAUGAUGCAAGUAGUGGAAUUAAGUAUAGAUCAAUAAAAUUAAGGUGAAAAGUAAUAAAAUCAAAGUAUAAAAUAAUGAGACAAAAUUGGGUAUAGAAAAAUGAAAUUAUAAUACAAACUUGAUACAACUUGAUUAAUUGUGUUUUUAGUACUUAUCAUCGAUUCAGUAUUACAGAGGGGUCUACUGGAGAAUUGAAAGGCUCGGGUAUAUAUACAUGUCCAAAGCACCAGAAUGUGCAUAGCUUACCUUCUAAUGGCAAGAAAGAACUCUUUCCUCUGGCUUCUCCUUCUCAGUCUCAUCUGUACUCUGGUCUGUACCCACAGUACUGCAGCAGCUUCGAAGGAUGAUGGUCGAAAGGCAAUAUACACCCAUCUCUCUUUUGUUUGUUCUUAAUGGUCUGAUCAUUCCAUGAAGCAUGAAGCAUGGGCCAUGGCCUAAUAAUUUUUACAUGCAUGCAUGGCAGAAAAAUUCAGAUUAAUCUUGUGUUGAAAAUCAUGGUUGAGUAGUGUUAAUAAACUGGAUUUGCACCAAACAUAUUGUGGAUGCAGGAGUACAUUGUGUACAUGGGUGCCAAGCCUGCCGGAGAUUUCUCGGCAUCUGCCAUUCACAUCGACAUGCUGCAGCAAGUCUUUGGCAGGUCAGUAUCCUUUUUUUUUUUUUUCUAAUUUAUUUAUUGCAUAUAUAUAUAUGCUGCCUAAUUUUCCCCAUGGAAUGCCUUUGCAGCAGUAGGGCAUCAAUUUCUCUGGUCCGCAGUUACAAAAGGAGUUUCAAUGGAUUUGUAGCGAAGCUCACAGAGGAGGAAAUGCAGCAAAUGAAGGGUGGGUGGAAUUCAUCUUUCUGCAAUUAAUUAGAUAUUUCGGAAGUAACUCGGGCAUUUUAUAUAUGGCUAACAAAUAAACUGUAACUUUGGAGUUUCAGGAAUGGACGGGGUAGUCUCGAUUUUUCCUAACGAAAAGAAACAGCUCCACACAACGAGGUCAUGGGAUUUCGUGGGGUUUCCCCAGCAAGUUAAAAGAACUAGUAUUGAAAGUGACAUAAUAAUAGGAGUGUUAGACAGUGGAAUAUGGCCAGAGUCUGACAGCUUCGAUGAUGAAGGAUUUGGUCCACCGCCUAGCAAAUGGAUAGGGACUUGCCAAGGCUUUUCCAAUUUUACUUGCAACAAGUAAAUCUUAACGACAGAGUGUUUAAAUACCCUACUAUAAUUAAAAGCUCUAAAAUUUGAAAGACUAUAUAUCCUUAACAAAAGUUUCAAUUAAUGUUAUUGCAGUAAAAUUAUUGGAGCCAAGUACUAUCGGAGCAGUGGACAAUUUAGGCAAGAAGAUUUUCAAUCCCCAAGAGAUUCAGAAGGCCACGGGACACACACUGCAUCCACUGCAGCUGGGGGCCUAGUUAGCAUGGCAAGUCUCAUGGGCUUUGGCUUAGGGACUGCUCGGGGCGGGGUUCCAUCAGCUCGGAUAGCUGUGUAUAAGAUAUGUUGGUCUGAUGGCUGUUUUGGUGCUGAUAUUCUCGCAGCAUUUGAUGAUGCAAUUGCUGAUGGGGUUGAUAUAAUCUCCAUUUCAGUAGGGGGUAAAACUCCCACAAAUUAUUUUGAAGAUCCAAUUGCCAUUGGAGCUUUUCACGCAAUGAAAAAACGGAUACUAACAUCAGCUUCUGCUGGUAACGAUGGACCUGUUCUUGCUUCCAUCACAAAUUUCUCGCCUUGGUCUCUUUCCGUGGCUGCUAGCACCAUAGACCGGGAUUUCUUCACCAAGGUGCAACUAGGCGACAGUAACGUUUUUGAGGUGAGUAAGCUUCAUGGAAGUUCAUUUGGUUACACUUCGAACUAAUAACCAUCACAUUGCAAUUUUUUCAUUAAUUAAAGUUCCAAUUAUGUUGAUCUGAUUUUUGGAGGUUAUAUCAUUGCCCUUUGUGUAGGGAGUUUCAAUAAACACAUUUGAGCUCAAUGACAUGUAUCCUUUGAUUUACGGUGGAGAUGCCCCGAAUACUGCAGCAGGUUUUAGUGGGAACAGAUCUAGGUACUUAUUAAAGAUCAAAGAAAUAGAAUUAAUGGAAAAUGAAAAUUGUUAGAUAUCAUGAUUUUUGAAGAGUGUAUUUUAGAUUACUAGACGUUGACUAUUGAAAUGCAGGUUUUGCUUUCCAAGCACAUUGAACCCAAAUUUAGUUAAAGGUAAAAUUGUCCUUUGUGAUGUGAAGACCAAUGGGGCUGGCGCAUUCUUGGCGGGUGCUGUUGGGGCUCUGAUGGCAGAUACACUCCCCAAAGAUUCCAGCCGCAGUUUUCCCUUGCCUGCAUCUCACCUUAGCGCACGAGAUGGAAGCAGUAUUGCCAACUACAUCAACUCAACAAGGUAUCAAUUAACACAUCUUUCUUACUUUUAUUUGGAGGUGAAUGUUAAUUAUAUAAGUGAUAUGCUUUAUGAUUUGUACGGCACUCGGUCUUAUUACAUUAAAACAGUAACCCAACUGCAUCAAUAUUCAAGAGUACUGAGGUUAGUGACGCAUUGGCCCCAUACGUAGUCUCCUUCUCAUCAAGGGGUCCAAACCCAGCUUCAUUCGACCUUCUCAAGGUAACUUACGCUUUUAUUCUCCAUUUUCUUCUCAUUUAUUCUGCAGCCUUUUCAUCUCUGAUCCUACUUCUAUAAUUUUUAUUUGCGAAAGCAUAAGUGUUUUUCUUAAUCUAUGUUAUGAACAAUAACACAUAUUUCAUGUGAAAACACCUCUGUUUCCUUGGUUCAUAAACACUUGCUAGAGGUUUGACAUUCAUCGUGACUUUGUCAUCUUGCUGCAUGUAGCCUGACAUAGCAGCCCCAGGAGUCCGCAUUCUAGCUGCCUGGCCACCAAUUGCUCCAGUUUCUGGAGUAAAAGGUGAUAAUCGAGAAGUGCUAUACAAUAUAAUUUCCGGGACGUCAAUGUCCUGCCCACAUGCUUCCGGGGCAGCUGCCUACAUCAAGUCAUUUAACCCCACCUGGUCUCCUGCUGCCAUUAAGUCUGCUCUUAUGACUACUGGUAAUGUCUAAUUUGGUUCCUAGCCUUUAAAAUUAUGAAAGGGUUGAUAAUAA
rnacentral:lncRNA from 1 species